AUUGAACGCUGGCGGCAUGCCUUACACAUGCAAGUCGAACGGCAGCACGGGGCAACCUGGUGGCGAGUGGCGAACGGGUGAGUAAUGUAUCGGAACGUACCUUUCAGUGGGGGAUAACGUAGCGAAAGUUACGCUAAUACCGCAUAUUCUGUGAGCAGGAAAGCAGGGGAUCUUAGGACCUUGCGCUGAUUGAGCGGCCGAUAUCAGAUUAGCUAGUUGGUGAGGGAAAGGCUCACCAAGGCGACGAUCUGUAGCGGGUCUGAGAGGAUGAUCCGCCACACUGGAACUGGGACACGGUCCAGACUCCUACGGGAGGCAGCAGUGGGGAAUUUUGGACAAUGGGCGCAAGCCUGAUCCAGCCAUGCCGCGUGAGUGAAGAAGGCCUUCGGGUUGUAAAGCUCUUUCAGCCGGGAAGAAAACGCAUGGGUUAAUACCCUGUGUGGAUGACGGUACCGGAAUAAGAAGCACCGGCUAACUACGUGCCAGCCGCCGCCGUAA
rnacentral:rRNA from 1 species